rnacentral:rRNA from 1 species
UACGUAGGGGGCUAGCGUUGUCCGGAAUUAUUGGGCGUAAAGAGCUCGUAGGCGGUCUGUCGCGUCUGCUGUGAAAACUCGGGGCUUAACCCCGGGCCUGCAGUGGGUACGGGCAGACUAGAGUGCGGUAGGGGAGACUGGAAUUCCUGGUGUAGCGGUGAAAUGCGCAGAUAUCAGGAGGAACACCAGCGGCGAAGGCGGCGCUCUGGGCCGGAACUGACGCUGAGGAGCGAAAGCGUGGGGAGCGAACAGG